rnacentral:rRNA from 1 species
ACUCCCUACGGGAGGCAGCAGUGGGAAUAUUGCACAAUGGGCGCAAGCCUGAUGCAGCCAUGCCGCGUGUGUGAAGAAGGCCUUCGGGUUGUAAAGCACUUUUCAGUUGUGAGGAAAGGUUAGUCGCUAAUAUCGGCUAGCUGUGACGUUUAGCAACAGAAGAAGCACCGGCUAACUCCGUGCCAGCAGCCGCGGUAAUACGGAGGGUGCGAGCGUUAAUCGGAAUUACUGGGCGUAAAGCGCGUGUAGGUGGCUUGUUAAG